rfam:Oryza sativa Japonica Group DNA, chromosome 7, cultivar: Nipponbare, complete sequence.
AAUGUACGACGCCAUUGACUUUUUGUUCAACGUUUGACCAUUCGUCUUAUUUAAAAAAAAUAUGUAAUUAUUAUUUAUUUUAUUGUAGUUUAAUUCGUCAUCAAAUAUUCUUUAAGCAUGACAUAAAUAUUUUGAUAUUUGCACAAAAAUUUUAAAUAAAACGAAUGGUCAAACAUUGGUCGAAAAGUCAACGGCGUCAUAUAUU